AGCCCCAUCUUCCAGCGGUCAAGGAAACGGGACUCUGGAUCCCGUAACCCAGGUUCGAAUCCUGGUGGGGCUA
rnacentral:tRNA from 5 species